GACGAACGCUGGCGGCGUGCUUAACACAUGCAAGUCGAACGAGACGAUUGAAAGAUUGCUUUCGAAAGUCGACUGGCAAACGGGUGAGUAACGCGUAGACACCCUGCCUUUGAGAUGGGGAUAACAGUUCGAAAGGACUGCUAAUACCGAAUGAUGUAUAUUUUCCACAUGGAAGAUAUAUUAAAGAUGGCCUCUAUUUAUAAGCUAUCGCGCAAAGAUGGGUCUGUGUCUGGUUAGCUAGUUGGUGGGGUAACGGCCAACCAAGGCGAAGAUCGGUAGCCGGUCGGAGAGGAGGAACGGCAACAUUGGGACUGAGACACGGCCCAGACUCCUACGGGAGGCAGCAGUGGGGAAUCUUCCACAAUGGACGAAAGUCUGAUGGAGAAACGCCGCGUGAGUGAAGAAGGGUUUCGGCUCGUAAAGCUCUGUUGUCGGGGACGAAUGUGCAGUAUUUGAAUAAAGUAGUGUGAUGGCGGUACCUGACGAGGAAGCCACGGCUAACUACGUGCCAGCAGCCGCAGUAA
rnacentral:rRNA from 1 species